GCGCCGGUGGUUGAGUGGUACAAUGGGGCCUUGCCAAGGCUUCGGCCCGGGUUCAAUUCCCGGUCGGCGCA
rnacentral:tRNA from 1 species